rnacentral:rRNA from 1 species
AUUGAACGCUGGCGGCAGGCCUAACACAUGCAAGUCGAGCGGAUGUGUGGAGCUUGCUCCAUGAUUCAGCGGUGGACGGGUGAGUAAUGCCUAGGCUUCUGCCUGGUAGUGGGGGACAACGUUUCGAAAGGAACGCUAAUACCGCAUACGUCCUUCGGGAGAAAGUGGGGGAUGUUCGGACCUCACGCUCUCAUAUGAGCCUAUGUCGGAUUAGAUAGUUGGUGAGGUAAAGGCUCACCAAGGCGACGAUCCGUAACUGGUCUGAGAGGAUGAUCAGUCACACUGGAACUGAGACACGGUCCAGACUCCUACGGGAGGCAGCAGUGGGGAAUAUUGGACAAUGGGCGAAAGCCUGAUCCAGCCAUGCCGCGUGUGUGAAGAAGUUCUUCGGAUUGUAAAGCACUUUAAGUUGGGAGGAAGGGCGGUAAGUUAAUACCUUGCUGUUUUGACGUUACCAACAGAAUAAGCACCGGCUAACUUCGUGCCAGCCGCCGCCGUAAGAC